rnacentral:rRNA from 1 species
GGAGGACCUUCGGGCCUCUUGCCAUCGGAUGUGCCCAGAUGGGAUUAGCUAGUAGGUGGGGUAACGGCUCACCUAGGCGACGAUCCCUAGCUGGUCUGAGAGGAUGACCAGCCACACUGGAACUGAGACACGGUCCAGACUCCUACGGGAGGCAGCAGUGGGGAAUAUUGCACAAUGGGCGCAAGCCUGAUGCAGCCAUGCCGCGUGUAUGAAGAAGGCCUUCGGGUUGUAAAGUACUUUCAGCGGGGAGGAAGGGAGUAAAGUUAAUACCUUUGCUCAUUGACGUUACCCGCAGAAGAAGCACCGGCUAACUCCGUGCCAGCAGCCGCGGUAAUACGGAGGGUGCAAGCGUUAAUCGGAAUUACUGGGCGUAAAGCGCACGCAGCCGUGC